rnacentral:rRNA from 1 species
UACGAAGGGGGCUAGCGUUGUUCGGAAUUACUGGGCGUAAAGCGCGUGUAGGCGGGUCCUUAAGUCAGGGGUGAAAUCCUGGAGCUCAACUCCAGAACUGCCUUUGAUACUGAAGAUCUUGAGUUCGGGAGAGGUGAGUGGAACUGCGAGUGUAGAGGUGAAAUUCGUAGAUAUUCGCAAGAACACCAGUGGCGAAGGCGGCUCACUGGCCCGAUACUGACGCUGAUGCACGAAAGCGUGGGGAGCAAACAGG